rnacentral:rRNA from 2 species
CCCUGCUUCCAGGAAAAGCCUCUAAGCCUCAGGUAACAUCAAAUCGUACCCCAAACCGACACAGGUGGUCAGGUAGAGAAUACCAAGGCGCUUGAGAGAACUCGGGUGAAGGAACUAGGCAAAAUGGUGCCGUAACUUCGGGAGAAGGCACGCUGACACGUAGGUGAAGUGGUUUACCCAUGGAGCUGAAGUCAGUCGAAGAUACCAGCUGGCUGCAACUGUUUAUUAAAAACACAGCACUGUGCAAACACGAAAGUGGACGUAUACGGUGUGACGCCUGCCCGGUGCCGGAAGGUUAAUUGAUGGGGUCAGCGCAAGCGAAGCUCCUGAUCGAAGCCCCGGUAAACGGCGGCCGUAACUAUAACGGUCCUAAGGUAGCGAAAUUCCUUGUCGGGUAAGUUCCGACCUGCACGAAUGGCGUAAUGAUGGCCAGGCUGUCUCCACCCGGGACUCAGUGAAAUUGAACUCGCUGUGAAGAUGCAGUGUACCCGCGGCAAGACGGAAAGACCCCGUGAACCUUUACUAUAGCUUGACACUGAACACUGGUCCUUGAUGUGCAGGAUAGGUGGGAGGCUUUGAAGUGUGGACGCCAGUCUGCAUGGAGCCAUCCUUGAAAUACCACCCUUUAAUGGCUGGUGUUCUAACGUGGGCCCGUGAACCGGGUUGCGGACAGUGUCUGGUGGGUAGUUUGACUGGGGCGGUCUCCUCCUAAAGAGUAACGGAGGAGCACGAAGGUUGGCUAAUCCUGGUCGGACAUCAGGAGGUUAGUGCAAUGGCAUAAGCCAGCUUGACUGCGAGCGUGACGGCGCGAGCAGGUGCGAAAGCAGGUCAUAGUGAUCCGGUGGUUCUGAAUGGAAGGGCCAUCGCUCAACGGAUAAAAGGUACUCCGGGGAUAACAGGCUGAUACCGCCCAAGAGUUCAUAUCGACGGCGGUGUUUGGCACCUCGAUGUCGGCUCAUCACAUCCUGGGGCUGAAGUAGGUCCCAAGGGUAUGGCUGUUCGCCAUUUAAAGUGGUACGCGAGCUGGGUUUAGAACGUCGUGAGACAGUUCGGUCCCUAUCUGCCGUGGGCGCUGGAAGAUUGAGGGGGGCUGCUCCUAGUACGAGAGGACCGGAGUGGACGCAUCACUGGUGUUCGGGUUGUCAUGCCAAUGGCACUGCCCGGUAGCUACAUGCGGAAGAGAUAAGUGCUGAAAGCAUCUAAGCACGAAACUUGCCCCGAGAUGAAUCUUCCCUGAGCCUUUAAGGCUCCUGAAGGAACGUUGAAGACGACGACGUUGAUAGGCCGGGUGUGUAAGCGCAGCGAUGCGUUGAGCUAACCGGUACUAAUGAACCGUGAGGCUUAACCUUACAACGCCGAAG